UUCCAAGGUGAUCCUCUCUCCAAGGGGCCAACUAGUACCCCCAAAACCCCCCAGAAAGCUAACGACAUAGGGGAAAUUCUGGCAUGCCCAAGGUCCGUGAGGGUAAGGGAAUGUUUCUUUUUGAUCUUGGUCUGCCUACAUAU
ensembl:snoRNA